rnacentral:rRNA from 1 species
AACGAACGCUGGCGGCAUGCCUAACACAUGCAAGUCGAACGAUGCUUUCGGGCAUAGUGGCGCACGGGUGCGUAACGCGUGGGAAUCUGCCUUGGGGUACGGAAUAACUCAGAGAAAUUUGAGCUAAUACCGUAUGAUGUCUUCGGACCAAAGAUUUAUCGCCCUGAGAUGAGCCCGCGUAGGAUUAGCUAGUUGGUGGGGUAAAGGCCUACCAAGGCGACGAUCCUCAGCUGGUCUGAGAGGAUGAUCAGCCACACUGGGACUGAGACACGGCCCAGACUCCUACGGGAGGCAGCAGUGGGGAAUAUUGGACAAUGGGCGCAAGCCUGAUCCAGCAAUGCCGCGUGAGUGAUGAAGGCCUUAGGGUUGUAAAGCUCUUUUACCCGGGAAGAUAAUGACUGUACCGGGAGGAUAAGCCCCGGCUAACUCCGUGCCAGCCGCCGCGGUAA